UUAAGUUAUUAAGGGCGCACGGUGGAUGCCUUGGCACUAGAAGCCGAUGAAGGACGUUACUAACGACGAUAUGCUUUGGGGAGCUGUAAGUAAGCUUUGAUCCAGAGAUUUCCGAAUGGGGAAACCCAGCAUGAGUUAUGUCAUGUUAUCGAUAUGUGAAUACAUAGCAUAUCAGAAGGCACACCCGGAGAACUGAAACAUCUUAGUACCCGGAGGAAGAGAAAGAAAAUUCGAUUCCCUUAGUAGCGGCGAGCGAAACGGGAAGAGCCCAAACCAACAAGCUUGCUUGUUGGGGUUGUAGGACACUCUAUACGGAGUUACAAAGGACGACAUUAGACGAAUCAUCUGGAAAGAUGAAUCAAAGAAGGUAAUAAUCCUGUAGUCGAAAAUGUUGUCUCUCUUGAGUGGAUCCUGAGUACGACGGAGCACGUGAAAUUCCGUUGGAAUCUGGGAGGACCAUCUCCUAAGGCUAAAUACUCUCUAGUGACCGAUAGUGAACCAGUACCGUGAGGGAAAGGUGAAAAGCACCCCGGAAGGGGAGUGAAAUAGAACCUGAAACCGUGUGCUUACAAGUAGUCAGAGCCCGUUAAUGGGUGAUGGCGUGCCUUUUGUAGAAUGAACCGGCGAGUUACGAUUUGAUGCAAGGUUAAGCAGUAAAUGUGGAGCCGUAGCGAAAGCGAGUCUGAAUAGGGCGUUUAGUAUUUGGUCGUAGACCCGAAACCAGGUGAUCUACCCUUGGUCAGGUUGAAGUUCAGGUAACACUGAAUGGAGGACCGAACCGACUUACGUUGAAAAGUGAGCGGAUGAACUGAGGGUAGCGGAGAAAUUCCAAUCGAACCUGGAGAUAGCUGGUUCUCUCCGAAAUAGCUUUAGGGCUAGCCUCAAGUGAUGAUUAUUGGAGGUAGAGCACUGUUUGGACGAGGGGCCCCUCUCGGGUUACCGAAUUCAGACAAACUCCGAAUGCCAAUUAAUUUAACUUGGGAGUCAGAACAUGGGUGAUAAGGUCCGUGUUCGAAAGGGAAACAGCCCAGACCACCAGCUAAGGUCCCAAAAUAUAUGUUAAGUGGAAAAGGAUGUGGCGUUGCCCAGACAACUAGGAUGUUGGCUUAGAAGCAGCCAUCAUUUAAAGAGUGCGUAAUAGCUCACUAGUCGAGUGACACUGCGCCGAAAAUGUACCGGGGCUAAACAUAUUACCGAAGCUGUGGAUUGUCCUUUGGACAAUGGUAGGAGAGCGUUCUAAGGGCGUUGAAGCAUGAUCGUAAGGACAUGUGGAGCGCUUAGAAGUGAGAAUGCCGGUGUGAGUAGCGAAAGACGGGUGAGAAUCCCGUCCACCGAUUGACUAAGGUUUCCAGAGGAAGGCUCGUCCGCUCUGGGUUAGUCGGGUCCUAAGCUGAGGCCGACAGGCGUAGGCGAUGGAUAACAGGUUGAUAUUCCUGUACCACCUAUAAUCGUUUUAAUCGAUGGGGGGACGCAGUAGGAUAGGCGAAGCGUGCGAUUGGAUUGCACGUCUAAGCAGUAAGGCUGAGUAUUAGGGAAAUCCGGUACUCAUUAAGGCUGAGCUGUGAUGGGGAGAAGACAUUGUGUCUUCGAGUCGUUGAUUUCACACUGCCGAGAAAAGCCUCUAGAUAGAAAAUAGGUGCCCGUACCGCAAACCGACACAGGUAGUCAAGAUGAGAAUUCUAAGGUGAGCGAGCGAACUCUCGUUAAGGAACUCGGCAAAAUGACCCCGUAACUUCGGGAGAAGGGGUGCUCUUUAGGGUUAACGCCCAGAAGAGCCGCAGUGAAUAGGCCCAAGCGACUGUUUAUCAAAAACACAGGUCUCUGCUAAACCGUAAGGUGAUGUAUAGGGGCUGACGCCUGCCCGGUGCUGGAAGGUUAAGAGGAGUGGUUAGCUUCUGCGAAGCUACGAAUCGAAGCCCCAGUAAACGGCGGCCGUAACUAUAACGGUCCUAAGGUAGCGAAAUUCCUUGUCGGGUAAGUUCCGACCCGCACGAAAGGCGUAACGAUUUGGGCACUGUCUCAACGAGAGACUCGGUGAAAUCAUAGUACCUGUGAAGAUGCAGGUUACCCGCGACAGGACGGAAAGACCCCGUGGAGCUUUACUGUAGCCUGAUAUUGAAAUUCGGCACAGCUUGUACAGGAUA
rnacentral:rRNA from 1 species